rnacentral:rRNA from 1 species
UACAGAGGUCUCAAGCGUUGUUCGGAUUCAUUGGGCGUAAAGGGUGCGUAGGCGGCGCGGUAAGUCGGGUGUGAAAUCUCGGAGCUUAACUCCGAAACUGCAUUCGAUACUGCCGUGCUUGAGGACUGGAGAGGAGACUGGAAUUUACGGUGUAGCGGUGGAAUGCGUAGAGAUCGGGAAGAACAUCAGUGGCGAAGGCGGCCUGCUGGGCUGUUGCUGACGCUGAGGCGCGACAGCGUGGGGAGCAAACAGG